GUCCACGCCGUAAACGAUGGGCACUAGGUGUCGCGGGUAUUGACCCCUGCGGUGCCGAAGCUAACGCAUUAAGUGCCCCGCCUGGGGAGUACGGUCGCAAGACUAAAACUCAAAGGAAUUGACGGGGCCCGCACAAGCGGUGGAGCAUGUGGUUUAAUUCGACGCAACGCGAAGAACCUUACCUGGGCUUGACAUCCCGAUCGUACCUGCUGGAAACAGCGGGGUCAGUUCGGCUGGAUCGGAGACAGGUGCUGCAUGGCUGUCGU
rnacentral:rRNA from 1 species